GGAUAGCUCAGUCGGUAGAGCACAGGACUCGUAAUCUCAGGGUUGUGGGUUCAAGCUCCAGGUUGAGCA